CUCUUCUCUUUAACAUCUUAAUCCCUUUUCUCUCUUUCUACUCAGUAUCCCAAUCUGGAAUUUUCAAGGCAUGCACGGAGAAACAAUUCAUGGCAAUCAAAGCGUAAGACCGAGAAAGGGCUAAAACCAGUCUUGGAAUAAAGACCUUUUAUUGCACUUAAUCUUCUUCCCUGUUGGGUGUUUAAAUCUCAGGUCACAGAUGAAGAGGGACAGAGAAGAUUGUUUUUUCAACUGAAUGCUACAACGGUUGGCUCUAAAGUCAAAUAAGAUGACACAGGAAUGUUUUAUGGGAUUGAGUAUUACAAUGACAUGUUGCUACAAGCAGGUGAAACUGGGAAUGUACAAAGUGAGUUGUUAAUGCAGAAAGAUGCAGGGAUUUUCACAUUUAGGGAAGGAUGGGCUUUUCCAAGAAAGAUUUCGUCCAAUGGAGAAGACUGUGUUUUACCUUCACGAUGGCUAUCCAAGGCUUCCAAAUUCUAGUCAAUUUAUGGCUCCUUCAAUAUUUACUAUCAUUGUUUUCUUCCUCUCUUUGAUAUUAACCUUAUUUUAAUAAGUUUAACCAGUAAUUAAUACUCCCUCUGUUCCAAUUUA